AGAAAAGCGAUGAAAAGAUGAGUAGAUUAUUUAGUCUAUUAAAGAGAGCUAAUGUGUGGUGAAAAUUAGCAUAGACGAGAUUUUUGAAGAUGGUCUUGGAGCUGGUUAAAUGGUGAGUUUAGACGAGCCGUUUACGAUUGGUGACCGAUAAAACACCCGAGUAUUCUGCAUUUGUUAGCGGAGCACUUAGUGAGGGUAUUUGGUGUGAGCCAAAUACUAAAGUAAGGGUGGUAACACGCGAAUUAUUAGCGUCCCUGGA
rnacentral:ncRNA from 1 species